GAUGAACGCUGGCGGCGUGCUUAACACAUGCAAGUCGAACGGGAAUUAUUUUAUUGAAACUUCGGUCGAUUUAAUUUAAUUCUAGUGGCGGACGGGUGAGUAACGCGUGGGUAACCUGCCUUAUACAGGGGGAUAACAGUCAGAAAUGGCUGCUAAUACCGCAUAAGCGCACAGAGCUGCAUGGCUCAGUGUGAAAAACUCCGGUGGUAUAAGAUGGACCCGCGUUGGAUUAGCUGGUUGGUGGGGUAACGGCCCACCAAGGCGACGAUCCAUAGCCGGCCUGAGAGGGUGAACGGCCAUAUUGGGACUGAGACACGGCCCAGACUCCUACGGGAGGCAGCAGUGGGGAAUAUUGCACAAUGGGGGAAACCCUGAUGCAGCGACGCCGCGUGAAGGAAGAAGUAUCUCGGUAUGUAAACUUCUAUCAGCAGGGAAGAUAGUGACGGUACCUGACUAAGAAGCCCCGGCUAACUACGUG
rnacentral:rRNA from 1 species